GUGGGGAAUUUUGGACAAUGGGCGAAAGCCUGAUCCAGCCAUGCCGCGUGCAGGAUGAAGGCCUUCGGGUUGUAAACUGCUUUUGUACGGAACGAAAAGACUCUGGUUAAUACCUGGGGUCCAUGACGGUACCGUAAGAAUAAGCACCGGCUAACUACGUGCCAGCAGCCGCGGUAAUACGUAGGGUGCAAGCGUUAAUCGGAAUUACUGGGCGUAAAGCGUGCGCAGGCGGUUAUAUAAGACAGAUGUGAAAUCCCCGGGCUCAACCUGGGAAGUGCAUUUGUGACUGUUUAGCUAGAGUACGGCAGAGGGGGAUGGAAUUCCGCGUGUAGCAGUGAAAUGCGUAGAUAUGCGGAGGAACACCGAUGGCGAAGGCAAUCCCCUGGGCCUGUACUGACGCUCAUGCACGAAAGCGUGGGGAGCAAACAGGAUUAGAUACCCGGGUAGUCC
rnacentral:rRNA from 1 species